UGCUUUGGGCCUCUUCCUCACCUUGUUUUGGCAAUCCCUUUUGCAUUAUUGGUUUAUCCACCAUAGCUCCUCACCAGCUCUGGGCUCUGCUGUGGCAUCAUUGGUGCAUUAGAAAAGAGACAGUGUGGGGACAGCUUGCAACAAGCCUCACCUUAUCAGAGUGAAGCUGUCAACUCUGGCAGGGGGACUUGGGCUCAGCUCACAGCUUCAUUCCAGAACCCAAGAGGAUAAAGCAGCCACCAUUUUGAAUAUUGCUGGUUUCCAUGGCAGAAGAAACAACCCUGAAGAGUAUUG